CCUACGGGUGGCAGCAGUAGGGAAUAUUGCUCAAUGGGGGAAACCCUGAAGCAGCAACGCCGCGUGGAGGAUGAAGGUUUUCGGAUUGUAAACUCCUUUUGUUAGAGAAGAUAAUGACGGUACCUAACGAAUAAUCACCGGCUAACUCCGUGCCAGCAGCCGCGGUAAUACGGAGGGUGCAAGCGUUAUUCGGAAUCACUGGGCGUAAAGCGCGCGUAGGCGGGAUAGCAAGUCAGAUGUGAAAUGCUAUGGCUUAACCAUAGAACUGCAUUUGAAACUGUCAUUCUGGAGUGUGGGAGAGGUAGGUGGAAUUCUUGGUGUAGCGGUGAAAUGCGUAGAGAUCAAGAGGAACACUCAUUGCGAAGGCGGCCUGCUGGAAUGUAACUGACGCUGAUGCGCGAAAGCGUGGGGAGCAAACAGGAUUAGAUACCCCAGUAGUC
rnacentral:rRNA from 1 species